rnacentral:rRNA from 1 species
UACAGAGGUCUCAAGCGUUGUUCGGAUUUAUUGGGCGUAAAGGGUGCGUAGGCGGCGCGGUAAGUCGGGUGUGAAAUCUCGGAGCUUAACUCCGAAACUGCAUUCGAUACUGCCGUGCUUGAGGACUGGAGAGGAGACUGGAAUUUACGGUGUAGCGGUGAAAUGCGUAGAUAUCGUAAGGAAGACCAGUGGCGAAGGCGGGUCUCUGGACAGUUCCUGACGCUGAGGCGCGAAAGCGUGGGGAGCAAACAGG